rnacentral:tRNA from 2 species
GCGCCUUUAGCUCAGUUGGUAGAGCAAAUGACUCUUAAUCAUUGGGUCCAGAGUUCGAGUCUCUGAAGGCGCACCA